GACGAACGCUGGCGGCGUGCUUAACACAUGCAAGUCGAACGGAAAGGCCCUGCUUUUGUGGGGUGCUCGAGUGGCGAACGGGUGAGUAACACGUGAGUAACCUGCCCUUGACUUUGGGAUAACUUCAGGAAACUGGGGCUAAUGCCGGAUAGGAGCUCCUGCUGCAUGGUGGGGGUUGGAAAGUUUCGGCGGUUGGGGAUGGACCCGCGGCUUAUCAGCUUGUUGGUGGGGUAGUGGCUUACCAAGGCUUUGACGGGUAGCCGGCCUGAGAGGGUGACCGGCCACAUUGGGACUGAGAUACGGCCCAGACUCCUACGGGAGGCAGCAGUGGGGAAUAUUGCACAAUGGGCGGAAGCCUGAUGCAGCAACGCCGCGUGCGGGAUGACGGCCUUCGGGUUGUAAACCGCUUUCGCCUGUGACGAAGCGUGAGUGACGGUAAUGGGUAAAGAAGCACCAGCUAACUACGUG
rnacentral:rRNA from 1 species